GUAGGUUUACUCAGCGGCAGCAGUCCACUGUCUAAUACUUUACUAAAUGAAUCCAGCAUGAAGCUAAACCCCUGCAGCAUUCACCUCAUCUACUGAAAUCACAGGCUACACCUACAUCGUCGAUGCAUAAUUUGCAAAUUCAAGUCAAAAUUUGCAUACAGUUUGCAAUGAUCCAAGUUAAAAUCCCAAACUAUAAAUUCCACUAAAAUCCGCUCUGACGCAAGACAACUAAAGCAGGUACAUGGAUUCAUUAAUAAGAGCUCCUCGGUGACAGGCAGCAACCUGCUCUGGCAACAAAUUACUCACAUGGAAGUCUCAGUCAGAAAAGUCUACUUUGGAAUGUAAUUCUAGUCAAUUAUUGACAGCUCCAUGGGAAAAGUGCAGGAUCCCAACUUAUAAACGUCGUCAUGUGGAUCCUCCCUCCGUCAUCCCUCCAGCUGACUCCAGCUGCGGAGCGCGAGCCGUCCAGCUGCGCGCCGCCGUGUUCCCUGAGAGCUCGUGCAGCAUCCAGAUGCAGGACGGCAGCUUUAACGACAUCCAGCAGCAGUUUGGGGACGUGAUGUUGCCCGGCAACGGCUACGGGGGCAAUAACAACAACAACCCCAGCGGAGGCAUCAGCUACAGCUCCUCCCUGCCGCCCCCCACCGCCUCCCCGCUGCCCUGGAGCCACGGACUGUCCUCAGAUGCGGACUUCUACGGCCACGGGAUGGCUCCCUGCUCCUCACCGGAGUCUCUGGCGUUCUGCAACCCCAUGGAUCACAACAGCUACUCCCCACAGGACUCGUUCUCCUCCUCCUCUUCCUCCUGCUACGACUCGCCCACCAGGAUGGAGUCCAGCUUCCGCGGCUUCACCUCGGAGCUCUACCACUACCAGCACUGUACCCCCCAGGACUGUUACUGUCUGCCCCACUGCUGGCCAGCCCCGCAGGAGAGCUUCCCUGCCCCAGAAUAUGCACCUUACUACAACCCCACAGACCUUCCAUACGUCUGUCCUGUGGAGGAGAAUUACUUUAGGAGGGAUCUCCCAGUGAGCUCUGAGAUGUGUUACAAUGUUCUAUGAUGAGACCUCCAGCAGUAUUACCUUGUAUUCUGGCUGUAAAUAUGAUUCUCUUCAAGUAAGGCUGUUUGCUUGUUGCUUUGCAGUCCAUGCCAGUGUGUGUCCUGACUGGCUUUGGCUUCGGUGCAUGAUGAAUGCUGAAUGGAUGGAAAUAUUUUUGUAUCCUUUUUGAAAACUUAGAUUUAUUUUCAUACACAUGAUUUGUUGCUGUACAAAAUAAAGAAAAACAAACAAC
ensembl:lncRNA